UAAUCUGGUUGAUCCUGCCAGUAUCGCAUUUCUCAGUUAAAAGAUUAAUCCAUGCAUGUGUUUGGCACUACUUGUAGUGCCUGCGGACGGCUCAUUAAAACAGAGAUAGCCUACUCUCAGUAUCAUACGGAUAACUAUGCUAAUUGUGUGGCUAAUACGUGCUGUGAAGCCUUCUUUGCCCCGAUUACUUCUAAAGCUCUUAACUUGAUUGUUUAUUGGGUGCUUAGACCUUGAGUCUAAUGAGAAUGGGUCUCUGAUCUAUCAGCUGUGGACGGUUGUGUAUUGGACAACCGUGGCGUUGACGGAUAGCGGGGAAUUAGGGUUCGGUUCCGGAGAGAACGCAUGAGAAACGGCGUUCACAGCUAAGGUUGGCAGCAGGAGCGAAAACUUUUCGAAUAGGCAAUGCCUGAAAAGGUGACUAUCCGUAUCAACAACUGCUUUUAGUGGUUGAUUGGAAUGAGAGACUUUUAGAUUUAGUUUCGAGUAGCAAGUUCAGGGCAAGUCUGGUGCCAGCAGCCGCGGUAAUACCAGCUGAGCUAGAAAUGGGUAACAUUGUUGCAGUAAAAACGUACGUAGUCACCUUUGUUUUUAUAGUGAUUCUACUUGAAUCCUCUAUUGAACGAUCCAAAAUACCUUUCGGUUUGUGAACUCCGCGAGUAAACUAGAAUGAUUCACUUGAAUGUUGAAUAUGACAGCGUGGGAAAUCUGAUGAUGCCUUUUGAUUGUGUUGUUUUUCUUAAUCAUAGGAAUAUACCGUAAGAAUGAAUGAGAGUAUUAGUACUUAGCAGCUAGAGGUGAAAUUCCUAGAUUUGCUAAUGACUGACUACUGCGAAAGCAUCUGCCUAAUCCAUUUUUGGUGAUCAAGUACUAAAGAGUGGGGAUCGAAGAGGAUUAGAUACCCUCGUAGUCCACUCCCUAAACGAUGCCGACUAGAGGUUGGUAUAUGUAAAAUAAACUCUAUCAGAACCUUAGCAGAUAUGAAAGUCUUUGGGCUCUGGGGGGAGUACGGUCGCAAGGUCGAAACUUAAAGGAAUUGACGGAACGGCACCACCAGGGGUGGAGCGUGCGGCUUAAUUUGACUCAACGCGGGAAACCUUACUAGGGUAAGACAUUAGUAUGAUUGACAGAUUACUUGAUCUUUCUUGAUUUGGUGGGUGGUGGUGCAUGGCCGAUCUUAGUUGGUGGGGUGACCCGUCUGGUUAAUUUCGAUAACGAACGAGACCUUAGCCUA
rnacentral:rRNA from 1 species